rnacentral:rRNA from 1 species
UACGUAGGUGGCAAGCGUUGUCCGGAUUUACUGGGCGUAAAGAGCGCGCAGGCGGUCGUUCAAGUCGCGUGUGAAAGCCCCCGGCUCAACUGGGGAGGGUCACGCGAUACUGAUCGACUCGAAGGCAGGAGAGGGUAGUGGAAUUCCCGGUGUAGUGGUGAAAUGCGCAGAUAUCAGGAAGAACACCCGUGGCGAAGGCGGUUCUCUGGGACGGUACUGACGCUGAGACGCGAAAGCGUGGGGAGCGAACAGG